rnacentral:rRNA from 1 species
UAACAAGGUUUCCGUAGGUGAACCUGCGGAAGGAUCAUUAUUGAAUAGACCUGAUGGGUUUUGUCGCUGGCUUCUAGGAGCAUGUGCACACCUGUCAUCUUUAUCCAUCCACCUGUGCACCUUUUGUAGUCUUAGAGGUAAUGAGCGUGCAAAUUUCGAGGAAUUGCUCCUCGGAGAAAAAAAGGGGGUCUUGCCACACCUGCAUGUGUGUGUGACUGACCUUGAUCUCGCGUGAAUUUCCUCUAGGUCUAUGUUUUUCAUAUACUACAUUAAACUGUUUCAGAAUGUUUUUAUUGGGUCCUAGCACCUAUAAAACACAAUACAACUUUCAGCAACGGAUCUCUUGGCUCUCGCAUCGAUGAAGAACGCAGCGAAAUGCGAUAAGUAAUGUGAAUUGCAGAAUUCAGUGAAUCAUCGAAUCUUUGAACGCACCUUGCGCUCCUUGGUAUUCCGAGGAGCAUGCCUGUUUGAGUGUCAUUUAAUUCUCAACUCCUCCAGUUUGUUAUGGACUGGCUUGGUGGUUGGAUGUGGGGGUUUAAUCUGCGGGUCUCUUUCAGAGGUCGGCUCCCCUCAAAUGCAUUAGCGGAACCGUUUGCGGAACUGUCACUGGUGUGAUAAUUAUCUAUGCCAAAAGACACUGCUCUCUGGUAAUUCUGCUUCUAACUGUCCCUUCCAUUGGACAAUAAUAAUUGAAUGCUUGACCUCAAAUCAGGUAGGACUACCCGCUGAACUUAAGCAUAUCAAUAAGCGGAGGAAAAGAAACUAACAAGGAUUCCCCUAGUAACUGCGAGUGAAGCGGGAAAAGCUCAAAUUUAAAAUCUGGCGGUCUUUGGCCGUUUGAGUUGUAAUCUAGAGAAGUGUCACCCGUGCUGGACCAUGUACAAGUCUCCUGGAAUGGAGCGUCAUAGAGGGUGAGAAUCCCGUCUCUGACAUGGACUCCCAGUGCUGUGUGGUGUGCUCUCAAAGAGUCGGGUUGUUUGGGAAUGCAGCUCUAAAUGGGUGGUAAAUUCCAUCUAAAGCUAAAUAUUGGCGAGAGACCGAUAGCGAACAAGUACCGUGAGGGAAAGAUGAAAAGAACUUUGGAAAGAGAGUUAAACAGUACGUGAAAUUGCUGAAAGGGAAACGCUUGAAGUCAGUCGCGUUGACCGGGGAUCAGCUUCGCUCUUGCGUGGUGUACUUCCCAGUUGACGGGUCAGCAUCAGUUUUGACCACCGGAAAAGGACUUGGGGAAUGUGGCAUCUUCGGAUGUGUUAUAGCCCUUUGUCGCAUACGGCGGUUGGGAUUGAGGAACUCAGCACGCCGUAAGGCCGGGUUUCGACCACGUUCGUGCUUAGGAUGCUGGCAUAAUGGCUUUAAUCGACCCGUCUUGAAACACGGACCAAGGAGUCUAACAUGCCUGCGAGUGUUUGGGUAGAAAACCCGAACGCGCAAUGAAAGUGAAAGUUGAGAUCCCUGUCGUGGGGAGCAUCGACGCCCGGACCAGAACUUUUGGGACGGAUCUGCGGUAGAGCAUGUAUGUUGGGACCCGAAAGAUGGUGAACUAUGCCUGAAUAGGGUGAAGCCAGAGGAAACUCUGGUGGAGGCUCGUAGCGAUUCUGACGUGCAAAUCGAUCGUCAAAUUUGGGUAUAGGGGCGAAAGACUAAUCGAACCAUCUAGUAGCUGGUUCCUGCCGAAGUUUCCCUCAGGAUAGCAGAAACUCAUAUCAGAUUUAUGUGGUAAAGCGAAUGAUUAGAGGCCUUGGGGUUGAAACAACCUUAACCUAUUCUCAAACUUUAAAUAUGUAAGAACGAGCCGUUUCUUGACUGAACCGCUCGGUGAUUGAGAGUUUCUAGUGGGCCAUUUUUGGUAAGCAGAACUGGCGAUGCGGGAUGAACCGAACGCGAGGUUAAGGUGCCGGAAUUCACGCUCAUCAGACACCACAAAAGGUGUUAGUUCAUCUAGACAGCAGGACGGUGGCCAUGGAAGUCGGAAUCCGCUAAGGAGUGUGUAACAACUCACCUGCCGAAUGAACUAGCCCUGAAAAUGGAUGGCGCUUAAGCGUGAUACCCAUACCUCGCCGUCAGCGUUGAAGUGACGCGCUGACGAGUAGGCAGGCGUGGAGGUCAGUGAAGAAGCCUUGGCAGUGAUGCUGGGUGAAACGGCCUCU